rnacentral:lncRNA from 1 species
AUCUCACCAAAAUAUCUAAGAGCUUCUUCUUCUUCUGGCUAGGGCUUCCACGCCGACGACGGCUGCCAAAUAAUUUCAAUUUCAUCUUUUCUUCUACAAGGUAUAUUGGUUGAGAUCGUCUCUAGUUUCUGUCUCUCAGCUAUCUUAGAUCUCAUCUCUUGCGGGUGAGAAUGUAGAACGAGUGAAUUUAGUUCAGAUCUGAUGCUUCUGUGUUAAAAGUCUUCUCGUUUGCAAUCCUUUGUGAUUUAGUUUAGAUCUGAUGUUUUUGACCAAAUUCAUUUAGAUUAGAUCUACUGCAUUAUUCCUUUUGAUUCUAAUUUUAUGUCGUGAUUUCUCUUUGAUUUGACGGAUUUGAGCUCUAAUUGUUAUACAAAGUUUGAGUCUUGAUGCAAAUUUUCAGUUUUC